GAGCGACUACGAAGAAGAAAAUCUCUAAUAUAUAGAUCGAAUUGUUUCCUUAACUAAAUAGGAACAGAUGCUUUAAAGAAUUAGGCCACUAGAAUUUAAAAAAAAAAGCAAAAAACUUUUGACUAAAAACAUACUUUAGACUCUAAGGUAUAUUAUUUUUAAUACUCUAAGGUUUAGAAUAUUAAAAAUAGUAUGCAAGUGAUCCCAAUACAAAAAAAAUAUUUUAAUAAUGUUUAUGAGGCUGUAUUGCUGAGCGCCUCGGAGCGCGUUCAAGCAAUCUCUCACUGACGAACAAGGCAAAACAAGCUCAGAGACUCUAAAUCACUACGGAAAAAAAGAGGAGAACAAAAAUGUCGAUACAGAGAACAACUAUAUGGUGCUAGAAUAGCAGAUUAAUGGUCAAAAGUUUUAAAAGAAACCUUUUCGCUCGUAGGAUUUGUAAAAAAUAAUGACUAUGCUACUGGACGCCUAUCAUCGACAUUUUAUAUACAUAUAAAGAUAAACAAUCAAGUGGUUAACUUAAAUUUUCUUUUUUGCAUUACUUAUGUUCAUAAAUAAUUGUCAAAAUUAGGCUGUUUUUUGUGCGUUAUAGUGGCCUAAUCCCUUAAGAAAAAAAAGAAGUAGGUUAGAUGAAAAGGUUACGUAGCAUAAAAGGAUACGAUGAGAAGAGGUCCGAUUGCAGUCUUAUCUAUUUAGUGUAAAACAGAUUUUUCUAGUCGAGCAUGUCCAGGAUCAAACAGCGAUAAUUCUUUCGUCUUUUACGGAUUCUAGUUUUUUGAUAUGAUAAAUUAAUUUUUAUCUUAUUAAUUUAGAUUUUUUAUUAUAUGUGCAUAGAAAGUCGUCCAUUAUGCGUCUCUUUUUCAGUUGAAAAAUUGCCAUUUCUCCACUGAACAGUUAUCUCACACAAAUAAUUCAUUGUUUCUGUCUUGCCAAUAAAUUGCAAUAAAAUAAUACAUUGUCACACA